rnacentral:lncRNA from 1 species
UUUGUAUGAUCUCAUCUUAUUUUUGUAUGAUCUCAUCUUAUGCACUUGCCUUCUCUUUCAAGAUUUCCACCUCAAACUUAGUUUUAUUGCACAUUCUGUACUUCACACAAUCAUACCGAGUUAUGACACAAAAGGAAAUGGAUGAUUAAAAGUUAACAGGGGUUUUAUGAUGAAUAAUGCUUAACGUUAACAUGGGGUUUACAAUGAACAAAAUGUCUAAG